rnacentral:rRNA from 1 species
GCUUGCUUUUGAUGGGCGUCGACCGGCGCACGGGUGAGUAACGCGUAUCCAACCUGCCCACCACUUGGGGAUAACCUUGCGAAAGUAAGACUAAUACCCAAUGAUAUCUCUAGAAGACAUCUGAAAGAGAUUAAAGAUUUAUCGGUGAUGGAUGGGGAUGCGUCUGAUUAGCUUGUUGGCGGGGUAACGGCCCGCCAAGGCAACGAUCAGUAGGGGUUCUGAGAGGAAGGUCCCCCACAUUGGAACUGAGACACGGUCCAAACUCCUACGGGAGGCAGCAGUGAGGAAUAUUGGUCAAUGGACGAGAGUCUGAACCAGCCAAGUAGCGUGCAGGAUGACGGCCCUAUGGGUUGUAAACUGCUUUUAUAAGGGAAUAAAGUGAGUCUCGUGAGACUUUUUGCAUGUACCUUAUGAAUAAGGACCGGCUAAUUCCGUGCCAGCAGCCGCGGUAAUACGGAAGGUCCGGGCGUUAUCCGGAUUUAUUGGGUUUAAAGGGAGCGUAGGCCGGAGAUUAAGCGUGUUGUGAAAUGUAGACGCUCAACGUCUGCACUGCAGCGCGAACUGGUUUCCUUGAGUACGCACAAAGUGGGCGGAAUUCGUGGUGUAGCGGUGAAAUGCUUAGAUAUCACGAAGAACUCCGAUUGCGAAGGCAGCUCACUGGAGCGCAACUGACGCUGAAGCUCGAAAGUGCGGGUAUCGAAC